CAGCCUGGCAAAUAUGGUGAAACCUCGUCUCUACUAAAAGUACAAAAAAAUUAGCCGGGCAUGGUGGCACAUGCCUGUAAUCCCAGCUACUUGGGAGGCUGAGGCAGAAGAAUUGCUUGAAUCUGGGAGGCAGAGGUUGCAGUGAGCUGAGAUCACACCACUGCAGUCCAGCCUGGGUGACAGAAUGCGAUUCUGUCUAAAAAAAAAAAAAUUUGUUUUCCAUUUCAUCCAAAUUAUCUAAUUUGUUGAUAUGCAGUUUUUCAUUGUAUUCUCUUAUAAUCCUUUUUAUUUCUGUAAAGUCAGUCCUUAUUU
rnacentral:lncRNA from 1 species